rnacentral:rRNA from 1 species
GGUUAAGCGACUAAGCGUACACGGUGGAUGCCCUGGCAGUCAGAGGCGAUGAAGGACGUGCUAAUCUGCGAUAAGCGUCGGUAAGGUGAUAUGAACCGUUAUAACCGGCGAUUUCCGAAUGGGGAAACCCAGUGUGAUUCGUCACACUAUCAUUAACUGAAUCCAUAGGUUAAUGAGGCGAACCGGGGGAACUGAAACAUCUAAGUACCCCGAGGAAAAGAAAUCAACCGAGAUUCCCCCAGUAGCGGCGAGCGAACGGGGAGGAGCCCAGAGCCUGAAUCAGUGUGUGUGUUAGUGGAAGCGUCUGGAAAGGCGCGCGAUACAGGGUGACAGCCCCGUACACAAAAAUGCACAUGCUGUGAGCUCGAUGAGUAGGGCGGGACACGUGGUAUCCUGUCUGAAUAUGGGGGGACCAUCCUCCAAGGCUAAAUACUCCUGACUGACCGAUAGUGAACCAGUACCGUGAGGGAAAGGCGAAAAGAACCCCGGCGAGGGGAGUGAAAAAGAACCUGAAACCGUGUACGUACAAGCAGUGGGAGCCUCUUUAUGGGGUGACUGCGUACCUUUUGUAUAAUGGGUCAGCGACUUAUAUUCUGUAGCAAGGUUAACCGAAUAGGGGAGCCGAAGGGAAACCGAGUCUUAACUGGGCGUUAAGUUGCAGGGUAUAGACCCGAAACCCGGUGAUCUAGCCAUGGGCAGGUUGAAGGUUGGGUAACACUAACUGGAGGACCGAACCGACUAAUGUUGAAAAAUUAGCGGAUGACUUGUGGCUGGGGGUGAAAGGCCAAUCAAACCGGGAGAUAGCUGGUUCUCCCCGAAAGCUAUUUAGGUAGCGCCUCGUGAAUUCAUCUCCGGGGGUAGAGCACUGUUUCGGCAAGGGGGUCAUCCCGACUUACCAACCCGAUGCAAACUGCGAAUACCGGAGAAUGUUAUCACGGGAGACACACGGCGGGUGCUAACGUCCGUCGUGAAGAGGGAAACAACCCAGACCGCCAGCUAAGGUCCCAAAGUCAUGGUUAAGUGGGAAACGAUGUGGGAAGGCCCAGACAGCCAGGAUGUUGGCUUAGAAGCAGCCAUCAUUUAAAGAAAGCGUAAUAGCUCACUGGUCGAGUCGGCCUGCGCGGAAGAUGUAACGGGGCUAAACCAUGCACCGAAGCUGCGGCAGCGACGCUUAUGCGUUGUUGGGUAGGGGAGCGUUCUGUAAGCCUGCGAAGGUGUACUGUGAGGUAUGCUGGAGGUAUCAGAAGUGCGAAUGCUGACAUAAGUAACGAUAAAGCGGGUGAAAAGCCCGCUCGCCGGAAGACCAAGGGUUCCUGUCCAACGUUAAUCGGGGCAGGGUGAGUCGACCCCUAAGGCGAGGCCGAAAGGCGUAGUCGAUGGGAAACAGGUUAAUAUUCCUGUACUUGGUGUUACUGCGAAGGGGGGACGGAGAAGGCUAUGUUGGCCGGGCGACGGUUGUCCCGGUUUAAGCGUGUAGGCUGGUUUUCCAGGCAAAUCCGGAAAAUCAAGGCUGAGGCGUGAUGACGAGGCACUACGGUGCUGAAGCAACAAAUGCCCUGCUUCCAGGAAAAGCCUCUAAGCAUCAGGUAACAUCAAAUCGUACCCCAAACCGACACAGGUGGUCAGGUAGAGAAUACCAAGGCGCUUGAGAGAACUCGGGUGAAGGAACUAGGCAAAAUGGUGCCGUAACUUCGGGAGAAGGCACGCUGAUACGUAGGUGAAGUCCCUUGCGGAUGGAGCUGAAAUCAGUCGAAGAUACCAGCUGGCUGCAACUGUUUAUUAAAAACACAGCACUGUGCAAACACGAAAGUGGACGUAUACGGUGUGACGCCUGCCCGGUGCCGGAAGGUUAAUUGAUGGGGUUAGCGGUAACGCGAAGCUCUUGAUCGAAGCCCCGGUAAACGGCGGCCGUAACUAUAACGGUCCUAAGGUAGCGAAAUUCCUUGUCGGGUAAGUUCCGACCUGCACGAAUGGCGUAAUGAUGGCCAGGCUGUCUCCACCCGAGACUCAGUGAAAUUGAACUCGCUGUGAAGAUGCAGUGUACCCGCGGCAAGACGGAAAGACCCCGUGAACCUUUACUAUAGCUUGACACUGAACAUUGAGCCUUGAUGUGUAGGAUAGGUGGGAGGCUUUGAAGUGUGGACGCCAGUCUGCAUGGAGCCGACCUUGAAAUACCACCCUUUAAUGUUUGAUGUUCUAACGUUGGCCCCUAAUCGGGGUUGCGGACAGUGUCUGGUGGGUAGUUUGACUGGGGCGGUCUCCUCCUAAAGAGUAACGGAGGAGCACGAAGGUUGGCUAAUCCUGGUCGGACAUCAGGAGGUUAGUGCAAUGGCAUAAGCCAGCUUGACUGCGAGCGUGACGGCGCGAGCAGGUGCGAAAGCAGGUCAUAGUGAUCCGGUGGUUCUGAAUGGAAGGGCCAUCGCUCAACGGAUAAAAGGUACUCCGGGGAUAACAGGCUGAUACCGCCCAAGAGUUCAUAUCGACGGCGGUGUUUGGCACCUCGAUGUCGGCUCAUCACAUCCUGGGGCUGAAGUAGGUCCCAAGGGUAUGGCUGUUCGCCAUUUAAAGUGGUACGCGAGCUGGGUUUAGAACGUCGUGAGACAGUUCGGUCCCUAUCUGCCGUGGGCGCUGGAGAACUGAGGGGGGCUGCUCCUAGUACGAGAGGACCGGAGUGGACGCAUCACUGGUGUUCGGGUUGUCAUGCCAAUGGCACUGCCCGGUAGCUAAAUGCGGAAGAGAUAAGUGCUGAAAGCAUCUAAGCACGAAACUUGCCCCGAGAUGAGUUCUCCCUGACUCCCUGAGAGUCCUGAAGGAACGUUGAAGACGACGACGUUGAUAGGCCGGGUGUGUAAGCGCAGCGAUGCGUUGAGCUAACCGGUACUAAUGAACCGUGAGGCUUAACCUU